rnacentral:lncRNA from 1 species
GUAGGAUAUGCAUGUUUUUGGUGAAGGAAUGUAUAUUUAUUGAGGAUAUGUAUUCCAAAAUUUUAGAGAUCAACUGCAUAUUCAAAUAUAAGCAUUUUUUUUAGUAUUCCAAAUAAAUAAAGUGUAUUCAAGUAUGAAGGAUUGGUGAGAUUUUAAGUGUUCAAAGUAUUUAGCUCUAAACUUAUAUUUAUUUCAAUAACAAUUCAAACUUAACUUCAGUAAUCACGUGUUUUCUUUUUUUUUCCAUCUUGAAAACCUAAAAGGCUAUAUAAAUAGCCAAUAAGAGCCUUAAUAAAAUUCAAAAAGGUAUAUUCACAGGCAGUGGGUCUUAACAUUAACUUAAUAAUUUGUUUCAAAUUAGAGAGAAACUCCCAAGUUCCAUGCAGAAACCUCAUACUAUCUUCAAACCAAAAUCAAACCAAAAAUUAUCCAACUGAAUAUUAAAGCCAAGACUUUUUUCAUUGUGAAUUUGGGUGACUAAAUCUAAGAAUGGACUGAUAAACAUUGCUGAGUGGUACACAUUGGAUGAAAUCAUUACCCUACCAUCAUCACUAAGAAAUGACAAUGCUGUCACCUGCAAGCAGGCCAUGAAAUGAUGAUUUCACAAGACUCAAAGAAAUGUGAAAUAUUUGACAUUUUCACCUUAGUGUUUUCACACAUAAACGAGACACCUUUCAAUGUAAGUAGCGAAUUUUCUUUUCCUGUUGAGAGCUAGUUUUGCAACUCAAAGGGUAAAUAAGGAAAAAAUGUUGCUUUAGAAUUUUCUGAAAUGAUACAACUCACAUGCAGUGAACUCUAAUUCCACUAUUUCUGCAAGUGGCCUUGAGUCAGAAUCUUAGUUGUUGAAUUGCUGAAAAUUUAGAAGUUAUCUCUUAACUAGUCUACCAUGUAUGUGCAAAUCAGAAAAGGUGUGAAAAUUUUGCAUUGACAGAGUUCAGUUCUUUCAGCCUUAGUUACACAUUUAGUUGUCACUUAAGUUUUAAUUGAAUAAAAUUAGGCCCCUUAUUUUCA